rnacentral:rRNA from 2 species
AACGAACGCUGGCGGCAGGCUUAACACAUGCAAGUCGAACGCCCCGCAAGGGGAGUGGCAGACGGGUGAGUAACGCGUGGGAACAUACCCUUUCCUGCGGAAUAGCUCCGGGAAACUGGAAUUAAUACCGCAUACGCCCUACGGGGGAAAGAUUUAUCGGGGAAGGAUUGGCCCGCGUUGGAUUAGCUAGUUGGUGGGGUAAAGGCCUACCAAGGCGACGAUCCAUAGCUGGUCUGAGAGGAUGAUCAGCCACAUUGGGACUGAGACACGGCCCAAACUCCUACGGGAGGCAGCAGUGGGGAAUAUUGGACAAUGGGCGCAAGCCUGAUCCAGCCAUGCCGCGUGAGUGAUGAAGGCCUUAGGGUUGUAAAGCUCUUUCACCGGAGAAGAUAAUGACGGUAUCCGGAGAAGAAGCCCCGGCUAACUUCGUG